UAUUAGAAAUUUUUUAUAUUUAGUAGUAAGUGAUUUUCAUGAAACUAAAAUAAAUUGGCGGCUAUAUGAAUUUUUUAGAGAAACUUAUUCUAUAAAGGAUAUGACCCCAAUAUCUUACUUUUUAAUGUAAAUUUCAGCUCGUAUACCUCUAUUUUAUUAUUUUAUAAAAAAUAGUAUUUAACUUUUUUUGAAAAGUUAAAUUUUAGGGAAAGGUGCGGUUAAUGAAAAAGUUUGAAAUAAGUUUUAUUAAUUUUUAUUUUAAAAAUUAGUUUUUGUAAUAUUUUAAUAUUUAAAAUUUAAAAGUAAAAUUGGUUUAUUAGGUUAAUUUGAAUUUCUUUUCAGUAUGUGUACAUAUCGCCCGUCACUCUCUUUUUGAG
rnacentral:rRNA from 1 species